GAUAAACGCUGGCGGCGUGCCUAACACAUGCAAGUCGAACGCUCUGCGCAAGCAGGGAGUGGCGGACGGGUGAGUAACACGUGGGAAUCUGCCCCGAAGUGAGGAAUACCGGCGAGAAAUCGCCGACAAUACCGCAUACGUUUCGCAAGAAACAAAGCUCGCAAGGGCGCUUUGGGAUGAUCCUGCGGCUGAUUAGCUAGUUGGUGAGGUAACAGCCCACCAAGGCGACGAUCAGUAGCUGGUCUGAGAGGACGAUCAGCCACACUGGGAUUGAGAA
rnacentral:rRNA from 1 species